UGAGACGGACCCAAAUCCACCCGAAUUCAGCCCAAAAUCUGCCCCUCCCCCAUUGAGGGCUCAGAGGGGGGAGGGGAGCUGGGAACCCCCCACCCCAUACAUGGCUAUGGGGCUGUGGCUGCUGUGGCUGUGGGUGCACGUGGGGUGUGCGGAGGAGGAGACCCUGUUGGACACGAGGUUGGAGACAUCAGAUCUCAAGUGGACAGUGUAUCCAGAGGGGGAGGGGCAGUGGGAGGAGGUCUCAGCGCUGGACCCCGAGCGCGGAGUCCCCGUGCGCACGUUCGAGGUGUGCUCAGUGCUGCUGCCCCAUAGCCAGCCCCAUAACCAGCCCUAUAGCCAGCCCUAUAGCCAGC